AUUGAACGCUGGCGGCAUGCCUUACACAUGCAAGUCGAACGGCAGCGCGUCCUUCGGGAUGGCGGCGAGUGGCGAACGGGUGAGUAAAGCAAUCGGAACGUGCCCGGUAGUGCGGGAUAGCUCGGCGAAAGCCGGAUUAAUACCGCAUGAGAUCUGCGGAUGAAAGCAGGGGACCCGAAAGGGCCUUGCGCUACUGGAGCGGCCGAUGUCAGAUUAGGUAGUUGGUGAGGUAAAGGCUCACCAAGCCUGCGAUCUGUAGCUGGUCUGAGAGGAUGAUCAGCCACAUCGGGACUGAGACACGGCCCGAACUCCUACGGGAGGCAGCAGUGGGGAAUUUUGGACAAUGGGCGCAAGCCUGAUCCAGCCAUGCCGCGUGCAGGAUGAAGGCCUUCGGGUUGUAAACUGCUUUUGUACGGAACGAAAAGGCUCUUUCUAAUAAAGGGAGUUGAUGACGGUACCGUAAGAAUAAGCACCGGCUAACUACGUG
rnacentral:rRNA from 1 species